CCUACGGGAGGCAGCAGUGAGGAAUAUUGGUCAAUGGACGAGAGUCUGAACCAGCCAAGUAGCGUGAAGGAUGACUGCCCUAUGGGUUGUAAACUUCUUUUAUAUGGGAAUAAAAUGUUCCACGUGUGGGAUUUUGUAUGUACCAUAUGAAUAAGGAUCGGCUAACUCCGUGCCAGCAGCCGCGGUAAUACGGAGGAUCCGAGCGUUAUCCGGAUUUAUUGGGUUUAAAGGGAGCGUAGGUGGAUUGUAAAGUCAGUUGUGAAAGUUUGCGGCUCAACCGUAAAAUUGCAGUUGAAACUGGCAGUCUAGAGUACAGUAGAGGUGGGCGGAAUUCGUGGUGUAGCGGUGAAAUGCUUAGAUAUCACGAAGAACUCCGAUUGCGAAGGCAGCUCACUGGACUGCAACUGACACUGAGGCUCGAAAGUGUGGGUAUCAAACAGGAUUAGAUACCCCAGUAGUC
rnacentral:rRNA from 1 species